CGUGGGUAACCUGCCUUAUAGUGGGGGAUAGCCUUUCGAAAGGAAGAUUAAUACCGCAUAAGAUUGUAGUAUCGCAUGAUAUAGCAAUUAAAGGAGCAAUUCGCUAUAAGAUGGACCCGCGUCGCAUUAGCUAGUUGGCGAGGUAAUGGCUCACCAAGGCGACGAUGCGUAGCCGACCUGAGAGGGUGAUCGGCCACAUUGGGACUGAGACACGGCCCAGACUCCUACGGGAGGCAGCAUG
rnacentral:rRNA from 1 species